AAAUUGCUGUAAUUUGUACGGUAAAUUGAUGUAAAUUUUAACAGUAAGAUACUGUAAUGAUGAUUUUACAGUAAUUUGCCGUAUUAUUCAGGCGGUUCACGGUAAUUUACAGCAAUCAUUCGAGUUCUUUUUUUGGGAGAUCAACUUUACAGUAAUUUACUGUAAUUGAGCACGCGAAAUGCAUUCUGGGAUACAACACGUCACACGCGCAUGCGCCUCUUACUCGGCGCGGAGCAUAAAUUCUUGCAAAAUUUCGAGUGUCAGAUCGAUAAGAAGUGCCGUCGGAACUGCUGUUGUUUUGAAUUCAACUUUACGUCUCCGGUCAAGUACACAUUCCCUGUACUUCUCGUGGAAGCUGCGGCUGCAAAAGAUGAUGCAAACCUGCAUGAUGUAGCAUCUGGUGUGCUGAGAGGGUUGCAGAGCCUGUUUAAAGAAGGGAAUGACUCCCUUUUCCUCAUCCGUGAUGUUACAGAUACUGCUGAGGACA